UAACGUAGGGACCAAGCGUUGUUCGGAUUUACUGGGCGUAAAGGGCGCGUAGGCGGCUUAACAAGUCACUUGUGAAAUCUCCGGGCUUAACUCGGAACGGCCAAGUGAAACUGUCAAGCUAGAGUGCAGAAGGGGCAAUCGGAAUUCUUGGUGUAGCGGUGAAAUGCGUAGAUAUCAAGAGGAACACCUGAGGUGAAGACGGGUGGCUGGGCUGACACUGACGCUGAGGCGCGAAAGCCAGGGGAGCAAACAGG
rnacentral:rRNA from 1 species